CGUAGGGUGCGAGCGUUGUCCGGAAUUACUGGGCGUAAAGAGCUCGUAGGUGGUUUGUCGCGUCGUCUGUGAAAAUUCCCGGGGCUUAACUCCGGGCGUGCAGGCGAUACGGGCAUAACUUGAGUACUGUAGGGGAGACGUGAAUUCCUGGUGUAGCGGUGAAAUGCGCAGAUAUCAGGAGGAACACCGGUGGCGGAAGGCGGGUCGUCUGGGCAGUAACUGACGCUGAGGAGCGAAGCAUGGGGGAGCGACAGGAUU
rnacentral:rRNA from 1 species